AACGCACCUUGCGCCCCUUGGCAUUCCGAGGGGCACACCCGUUUGAGUGUCGUGAAAUCAUCAAAACCCUUUUCUUUUUUGGAAAGGGAUUUUGGACUUGGAGGUUUGAUGCUCGCUUUCACUUUUGAAAGCGAGCUCCUCUCAAAUGAAUCAGUGGGGUUUGCUUUGCCGAUCCUUGACGUGAUAAGAUGUUUCUACGUUUUGGACUCGGUACUGUGCCUGCUUCUAACUGUCCCGUGGACAACGAUGGUGCUCCGGUCACCGCCAUUCACAUCGGCGGGAGGCUGGACCCACAAAAAUAAAAACCUUGACCUCAAAUCGGGUGAGACUACCCGCUGAACUUAA
rnacentral:misc_RNA from 1 species